GACGAACGCUGGCGGCGUGCUUAACACAUGCAAGUCGAACGGAAAGGCCCUGCUUUUGUGGGGUGCUCGAGUGGCGAACGGGUGCGUAACACGUGAGUAACCUGCCCUUGACUUUGGGAUAACUUCAGGUAACUGGGGCUAAUACCGGAUAGGAGCUCCUGCUCCAUGGUGGGGGUUGGAACGUUUCGGCGGUUGGGGAUGGACUCGCGGCUUAUCAGCUUGUUGGUGGGGUAGUGGCUUACCAAGGCUUUGACGGGUAGCCGGCCUGAGAGGGUGACCGGCCACAUUGGGACUGAGAUACGGCCCAGACUCCUACGGGAGGCAGCAGUGGGGAAUAUUGCACAAUGGGCGGAAGCCUGAGGCAGCAACGCCGCGUGCGGGAUGACGGCCUUCGGGUUGUAAACCGCUUUCGCCUGUGACGAAGCGUGAGUGACGGUAAUGGGUAAAGAAGCACCGGCUAACUACGUG
rnacentral:rRNA from 1 species